CCGGCAUCCGCGCCGGCCACAUUGGCGGCGAGGCGCGCGGCCUCGGCCGCCAGCAGCGCCUCCUGGUUGGACAGCGUGCAUUCGCCGAUGCCGGU
rnacentral:tRNA from 1 species